rnacentral:misc_RNA from 1 species
UCUCAUUCUAAAGAAUUCUGGAGCUAAAGGAGUUCCCUAGCCCUUCAAGUUUACAUGCUGAUCCCUCUAUGAUGGCAUUCUUCUUCCUUUCUUCCUCUCCGACUUGACGAUAUUAUUCUUUCAGAAGCUAGUGAUUAGCUGAGGCUGACAGUAUCGUAUCUCGGCAAAGGGCUGACUCCACUACUUAAGAUUGUCGAAUCGAAUCUACCUUCUAUGACCUAGCUUCUGGUAUUUGAACCAGUUAUGUCGAUUGCUGAACCUGACUUGACUUUGACGC